rnacentral:lncRNA from 1 species
AAUAUAUAUAAAAAUGAUAUAAACAAUUUUUAAGUUCUUUGACUACAGUUAUACUGUGGCAGAAACCUAUUUUGUGUCAAAUAUUUAAUUGCAAUCCAAAUUCAAACCUGUACCAAACGUGAACUUUGUGUCCAUUUUGGCCCCAACUGUUCAGGGCAUCUGCGGUCGGAUCCAGCUGCGCUCAGCGAAGCAAUUUAUUUCAUUUAUAUUUAAAACAACAUCGAUGUAUCUUCUUAUUAUUAUUAUUCCA